rnacentral:rRNA from 1 species
GACGAACGCUGGCGGCGUGCUUAACACAUGCAAGUCGAACGAAGAGCGACGGAAGCUUGCUUCUAUCAAUCUUAGUGGCGAACGGGUGAGUAACGCGUAAUCAACCUGCCCUUCAGAGGGGGACAACAGUUGGAAACGACUGCUAAUACCGCAUACGAUCUAAUCUCGGCAUCGAGGAUGGAUGAAAGGUGGCCUCUACAUGUAAGCUAUCACUGAAGGAGGGGAUUGCGUCUGAUUAGCUAGUUGGAGGGGUAACGGCCCACCAAGGCGAUGAUCAGUAGCCGGUCUGAGGUGAUGAACGGCCACAUUGGGACUGAGACACGGCCCAGACUCCUACGGGAGGCAGCAGUGGGGAAUCUUCCGCAAUGGACGAAAGUCUGACGGAGCAACGCCGCGUGAGUGAUGACGGCCUUCGGGUUGUAAAGCUCUGUUAAUCGGGACGAAAGGCCUUCUUGCGAAUAGUGAGAAGGAUUGACGGUACCGGAAUAGAAAGCCACGGCUAACUACGUG